rnacentral:rRNA from 1 species
UACAGAGGGUGCAAGCGUUGUUCGGAAUUAUUGGUGCGUAAAGCGCACGCAGGCGGAUGCGCGCGUGGGGUGUGAAAUCUGGCCGCUUAACGGCCAGGCGCCAUCCCAUACGGCGCGUCUGGAGUGAUGCAGAGGUCGGUGGAAUUGCCGGUGUAGUGGUGAAAUGCGUAGAGAUCGGCAGGAACACCCAGGGGGAAACCAGCCGAGCUGGGCAUGCUACUCGACGCU